UACGUAGGUGGCAAGCGUUGUCCGGAUUUACUGGGCGUAAAGAGCGCGCAGGCGGUCGUUCAAGUCGCGUGUGAAAGCCCCCGGCUCAACUGGGGAGGGUCACGCGAUACUGAUCGACUCGAAGGCAGGAGAGGGAAGUGGAAUUCCCGGUGUAGUGGUGAAAUGCGUAGAUAUCGGGAGGAACACCAGUGGCGAAGGCGACUUCCUGGCCUGUUCUUGACGCUGAGGCGCGAAAGCUAGGGGGAGCAGACGGG
rnacentral:rRNA from 1 species